AUUGAACGCUGGCGGCAGGCCUAACACAUGCAAGUCGAGCGGAUGAAGGGAGCUUGCUCCUGGAUUCAGCGGCGGACGGGUGAGUAAUGCCUAGGAAUCUGCCUGGUAGUGGGGGAUAACGUCCGGAAACGGGCGCUAAUACCGCAUACGUCCUGAGGGAGAAAGUGGGGGAUCUUCGGACCUCACGCUAUCAGAUGAGCCUAGGUCGGAUUAGCUAGUUGGUGGGGUAAAGGCCUACCAAGGCGACGACCCGUAACUGGUCUGAGAGGAUGAUCAGUCACACUGGAACUGAGACACGGUCCAGACUCCUACGGGAGGCAGCAGUGGGGAAUAUUGGACAAUGGGCGAAAGCCUGAUCCAGCCAUGCCGCGUGUGUGAAGAAGGUCUUCGGAUUGUAAAGCACUUUAAGUUGGGAGGAAGGGCAGUAAGUUAAUACCUUGCUGUUCUGACGUUACCAACAGAAUAAGCACCGGCUAACUUCGUG
rnacentral:rRNA from 1 species